GAACAGCGAUACAGGUGAAGAAAUUACAGUAUAAUUUUCAAGAAAUCAUUUUAAUUACGCUUUUUAACAUAAUAAAUCCGGCAAUAUGCAAUUUCAAAAGGUAACUCACGUGUUAUUUGAUCUAGACGGUCUACUUCUAGAUUCUGAAAUAUUAUACACUGAAUCUUUCACGAGAGUUUGUGCUAAGUAUGGUAAAGAAUUCACGUGGGAACUGAAGUCAACCCUAUUGGGAUUUCAAGGCCAUGAGUGCGCAGAAAAAAUCACUAAGACUUUGAACCUACCUAUAACUAAAGAAGAAUUCAUGAAUGAAUGUAGCAAGAUCAAUGAGGUACUAUUUCCUAAUGUACAGCUUAUGCCAGGAGCUGAAAAGUUGGUGAAACACCUCCACAAACAUGGUGUACCCAUCGCAUUAGCCACUAGUUCAGGCAAAGAAAGUGUGGAAUUAAAGAUGCAAAACCAUAAAGAAAUACUUGGCUUGUUCCACCAUCUUACCAUGGGGCAAUCAGACCCAGAAGUUACCAAAGGAAAGCCAGACCCCAUAAUUUUCCAAGUCUGUGCUUCUAAAUUCCCUGAAAAACCAGUACCUGAAAAGUGCUUGGUGUUUGAGGAUGCAGUCAACGGUAUCAAGGCAGCAAAGGCAGCAAAUAUGCAAGUGGUCGUAGUCCCAGACCCUCGGGUGGACCCUGAACAGCUGAAGGAUGCCACAUUGGUCCUCAAGUCUUUAGAAGAAUUCCAGCCAGAGCUGUUUGGUCUACCUUCUUACAGUUCUUAAGGUAAUAAUUUAUUUUUAAUAUGGAGAUAAUGUUUUUAGUGCAAUAAUUAUAUUUGUACUUAGUACACAGUAAUUUUUUUGCAUAAUUGUACAUUAAAUUUUCUAUGAAUUUUACCAUGAGUACUUACAGAAAGUCUUUUAUAUGUUUUUAUAUUCAUGUUAUUAUUGUCCACAAAGAAGUCACAAAUCCAACUGUAAACUUUGGGGUAGGAACUUGUUAACAAUCCUUACCUAACCAGUAUUAAACAAAUACUAACUUGUUUAUACUUAGUUUAGUAAUUUUAAAGCACCUGUCGCAAAAAGUUUGUGCAUUGAAUCACUUGUUACAUUUUGUUGAAACCAAAGACUUCUGACUACCACUAGACAAGUUGUUCGGAAUUAAACUAUCGAGGGACAAAACCGGACAUAUCACGACAUACAAGAGUAUUAUUUGUAUAACUAACUUUAUAAACUAAUUUACUUGUUUUAUCUGUAAAUGGGCAAUGUACAGCAUUUAUUCUGUCUAGCAGUACCUAGAUGUCUUUGGUUAGUAUACAUGUAUCUACUUCAGAGCUUCCAUUUGUGAGCUUUUAUAAUUAUGAUGCUUUGUUCUUGUAUAAUUAUGUCAUACAUUGAUUAUUGUGAUAAAGGAGUACCUGCGAACUUCAAAUACUUGAGUUGUACAGUAACUGUAUUUAAUUUACUUUAAUUAAUUACCUAGUCAAAGGGCAUUUGAUGCCUGCUCUCUCUGGAAAUAA